rnacentral:rRNA from 1 species
GAGACAGCAGCCGCCGCGGGAAUACGGAGGGUGCAAGCGUUAUCCGGAUUUAUUGGGUUUAAAGGGUCCGUAGGCGGAUCUGUAAGUCAGUGGUGAAAUCUCACAGCUUAACUGUGAAACUGCCAUUGAUACUGCAGGUCUUGAGUAAAUUUGAAGUGGCUGGAAUAAGUAGUGUAGCGGUGAAAUGCAUAGAUAUUACUUAGAACACCAAUUGCGAAGGCAGGUCACUAAGAUUUAACUGACGCUGAUGGACGAAAGCGUGGGGAGCGAACAGGAUUAGAUACCCCCGUAGUCCCUGUCUCUUAUAC